UAUUUAUUGAAUACAGCCCCAUGUGUAUGCAGUGUGUGUGUGUGUGUGUGUGUGUGUAUAUAUUUAUAUAUAUAUAUAUAUAUAUAUACAUAUAUAUAUAUAUACACAUACACACAUGGGGCUGUAUUCAAUAUAGU